AUUUUGGCCCCAGCCGUGCUUCUAGGAAGUAGAGCGCCGGCUCGCAUGCCUGCCCGCCCGCCAGCUUGCCGGGUACGGCCUUUUCCGCCGGGGCUUCCAGGUCAAAGCAUUCGCCUUUGCCGCUGCCGCUUUCUUACCCUCCGCACCCGUUAAGUUCUCCGGUCGGGCGGGAGUGUCUGAACACUUAGCCGCGCCAUCCGGGGUCACACCGCCUGGAAGGAGGUGACGGGGGUGGCGCGGGGCGCGGACACUCCCCGCUGAGAGUCCGCCUGCCAUGGACUCGGAAUAUUACAGCGGCGACCAGUCAGAAUGAAACUAGUGAUCGAGAAGAUGGCCUCCCCAAAGGACAUCAUGUGACAGACUCUGAGAAUGAUGAGCCCUUAAAUCUUAAUGCUAGUGACUCUGAAAGUGAGGAGCUUCACAGGCAAAAGGACAGCGACUCUGAAUCUGAGGAACGUGCAGAGCCUCCUGCAAGCGAUUCUGAAAAUGAGGAUGUCAAUCAGCAUGGGAGCGACUCUGAGAGUGAAGAGACCAGGAAAUUACCUGGUAGUGACUCUGAAAAUGAGGAGCUUCUUAAUGGGCAUGCAAGUGACUCAGAAAACGAAGAUGUUGGGAAGCAUCCCGCCAGUGAUUCUGAGAUGGAGGAGCUCCAGAAGAGUCCUGCCAGUGACUCUGAAACAGAAGAUGCUCUAAAACCUCAAAUCAGUGACUCUGAGAGUGAGGAACGCCCAAGGCACCAAGCCAGUGACUCCGAAAAUGAGGAGCCUCCCAAACCUCGAAUGAGUGAUUCUGAAAGUGAGGAGCUUCCUAAACCUCAGGUCAGUGAUUCAGAAAGUGAGGAACCCCCAAGGCACCAGGCCAGUGACUCUG
rnacentral:sRNA from 1 species